rnacentral:rRNA from 1 species
GACGAACGCUGGCGGCGUGCUUAACACAUGCAAGUCGAACGGAAAGGCCCUGCUUUUGUGGGGUGCUCGAGUGGCGAACGGGUGAGUAACACGUGAGUAACCUGCCCUUGACUUUGGGAUAACUUCAGGAAACUGGGGCUAAUACCGGAUAGGAGCUCCUGCUGCAUGGUGGGGGUUGGAAAGUUUCGGCGGUUGGGGAUGGACUCGCGGCUUAUCAGCUUGUUGGUGGGGUAGUGGCUUACCAAGGCUUUGACGGGUAGCCGGCCUGAGAGGGUGACCGGCCACAUUGGGACUGAGAUACGGCCCAGACUCCUACGGGAGGCAGCAGUGGGGAAUAUUGCACAAUGGGCGGAAGCCGGAUGGAGCAACGCCGCGUGCGGGAUGACGGCCUUCGGGUUGUAAACCGCUUUCGCCUGUGACGAAGCGUGAGUGACGGUAAUGGGUAAAGAAGCACCGGCUAACUACGG